GGAAAGGUGGCCGAGUGGUUGAAGGCACUGGUCUUGAAAACCAGAGAGGGUUAUACCUCCGCAGGUUCGAAUCCUGUCCUUUCCGCCA
rnacentral:tRNA from 1 species